rnacentral:rRNA from 1 species
GACGAACGCUGGCGGCGUGCCUAACACAUGCAAGUCGAGCGAGGUGAUCCUUUCGGGGUGAACCUAGCGGCGGACGGGUGAGUAACACGUGGGCAACCUGCCUUGUAGAGGGGAAUAGCCUUCCGAAAGGAAGAUUAAUACCGCAUAACAUUACACUUUCGCAUGAAGGAGUAAUUAAAGGAGCAAUCCGCUACAAGAUGGGCCCGCGGCGCAUUAGCUAGUUGGUGAGGUAACGGCUCACCAAGGCGACGAUGCGUAGCCGACCUGAGAGGGUGAUCGGCCACAUUGGGACUGAGACACGGCCCAAACUCCUACGGGAGGCAG